rnacentral:lncRNA from 1 species
AACCGAGGCAUGUUGACAGUGUUUUGUAUGUGGAUUUCUAUGGUAUAUCCACCGUCAACAAGAUCCCCCAAGCUUAACCUUUGCUCGUCCCGAGCAAACAAUCAAACUUAGCCUCGGUGGAUCAGGUAUUGUUACUAUGUUCACAUUUCAAGAGUACCAUGUGUACAACAAAGUUCUUCUCUUUGCAUGAAAAAUUUAGCUAUGUAAACUUACCCCUAUUACCUUAGUCCCUUAUGGGGCUUAUGGCUUUUCCUUUGUCUUAGGUGGUUGAGAGACAGAACAGUUUGACUUGAGCACUAACUUUCUCAUUCUUAGCAAGUUUCAUAUCAGAGGUUUUGUGAUAUUUUCAAAAGAAAGCUUAAAUGUUCCUCUUAUGGUUCUCUCAUGUCACUCAAAUGGUGUAUGAUUCCUCACCAAGGCAUAUGGUAAGAGUUGCCUUCUCUAUUUCAUCCUAUUUCUAAAAGGCUUAUGUGGAAUUCAAGGUAGGGAUGAAAGGAGAUAGCAUACUUACUUUGCAUGUAUUGCGAAGUCAAAGCUCGGAUCCUUGAAGAGAAGUGUCAUACUCCCAGAUCAAGAUGUGCAAGUGUGAUAUAUGGUGGACUAGGUUGCUCCUUUAUUUGAUAGACUCUCUAUGUAUUGAGACAUGGCUAGCUUUUUUUUUAUAUAUGAGCUUUCAUGUGCUCAAUUUUCUUUUUCUGUGGACUUGCACAUGUCCAUCUUUUUAUUUCAUUUUGCCUAGCCUUUUGAUGUCUCAUUUACCAAAUAAUGCUUAGAGAGAUGUUCUAACAUUUAGAGUAUGGAGCAACCUAUUUAGUGGAUGUGAAAUACAUGUGGUUGCGUACUUCCAGUGUAGAAGCAGCAUAUAUAUAUGUGGUGUGUACGUGAUCUUGAUCUUAGGAGCAUGAAAAGUCUCUUAACAAGGGUCAACAAGACUUGACGACACUCAACACAAAGCAAAUAGCUUAUGUGGAAAGAUUGCAAUUAUGUAAAGUAGAUAUGGCUGUGGUAGGAAUUCAUCACCAUUGAGGAACAAUUAAGGUUUUGAUCAUUUUAAGAAUAAAUCUCUGAUAAUCAUGCAUGCUUAGAAAAAUAUUAUAGUAGCUCUUGUCUUACUAUCUCAUGUCCCACAACAACUUAGACUU